GUAGUCGUGGCCGAGUGGUUAAGGUGAUGGACUAGAAAUCCAUUGGGGUCUCCCUGGGCAGGUUCUUAUCCUGCUGACUGCG
rnacentral:tRNA from 1 species